CUCAUCAUCAAAAUAUUUGCUCAUAUUCGAUAUUUGAUCAUUAGCAACUAUUUCUUCAAUUUCCUCAUUCACCUCAUCUCUAACAUCAAGAUUACACAUUGAAACUGAGGAAUCAAUUAUAGAGCCAUGUUCCAUCAUUUAACUAACUCCUACAAAAAUAACUAAAGUUAAUAUUCUAAAUAGAGCUCAAACAAUAGGAAAAUAGAAAAAAAUUUCUUCAUUUAUAGUAACAAUAUGGACACACUAGUUCUAUUGAAUCAAUAAUGCAUUCAGUGAGAAAAAAUAAAUUACAAGAACCAGAUAAAAGAAAACCAACCAUAAAUGAUGAAAUAAUAACUCUCAGAUUUAUAAAUUUUUCAGAUUUACAAACAUACUAAAGUUUAAAUUUUUCAGAUUUUUAAAAGAAAUAAUAACAAAAACAAACAUAUUUUCAUUUUUUUUAAUUUUAAGAAAAGAAAUUUUUUAUUUUCAUAAACAUUUUGUACAAGAAAAGAAAGUUUGUGAAAUAACUAAAACAACAUCUAAAAUUUCAUUAAGAUUUUCAAAAUUUUCAAAAUUUUCAGAUUUUUAAGAAAAGAAAUAAUAACUCUCAGAUUUCAAAAAUUUUCCAAAUUUUUUAAAGAUUUUCAAAAGAAAUAAUAACUCUCAGAAAUAAUAACUCUCAAAUUUUUUUCAAAAGAAAUAAUAACUCUCAGAUGUUCAGAUUUCAGAUUUUUAAGAAAAUAAACAACGUCUGACAUUUUUUU
rnacentral:lncRNA from 1 species